UCCCUGGUAGUUCAGUGGUUAGGACUUGGUGCUUUCACUGCUGUGGUCCAGGUGCAAACCCUGGUUGGGAAA
rnacentral:tRNA from 1 species